UGCGCCUUGCAGGCUCAGGAAGUUGACUAACUCCGGGGAAAGCUCCGUGCCCGCCUCUGGAAGAGGCAGCAUGUGGCUGGCAGAAGCAAAAGUAAACACGCCAAAAGCCACUCGGGAAUCUCCUGCAGGCCUACCGGAAGCAGCUCUCUGCUAUGGCCUGGGAAAGCAGUAGAAGAUGGCCCAAGUCCUUGCGCCCCUGCACCCACGUGGGAGACCCGGAGGAAGCUCCUGGCUCCUGACUUCUGAUUGGCGCAGCUCCGGCCGUUGCGGCCAAUUGGGGAGUGAACCAGCGGAUGGAAGACCUCUCUCUCUCUCUGCCUCUCUGUAACCCUGACUUUCAAAUAAAUCAAUAAAAAAAAUUGAAAACUU